CCUGGUUGAUCCUGCCAGUAGCAUAUGCUUGUCUCAAAGAUUAAGCCAUGCAUGUCUAAGCACAAGCCGCUGGACGGCGAAACCGCUAAUGGCUCAAUAAAUCAGUUAUGGUUCCUUAGAUCCACUCCAUCCUACUUGGAUAACUGUGGGUAAUUCUAGAGCUAAUACAUGCACUCGAGCCUCGACUGCGCCCGCUUCGCGGUGGGUGCAGAAGAGGUGCUUUUAUUAGAUCAAAACCAGUCGGGGCGAGCGGCGGGCAACCGUCGCGCGGACCCGUACCAAUUUUGGUGACUCUGGAUAACUUCACGCCGAUCGCAUGGCCUUCGAGCCGGCGCGUAUCUUUCAAAUGUCUGCCUUAUCAACUGUCGAUGGUAGGUUACGCGCCUACCAUGGUUGCUACGGGUAACGGGGAAUCGGGGGUUCGAUUCCGGAGAGGGAGCCUGAGAAAGGCUACCACAUCCAAGGAAGGCAGCAGGCGCGCAAAUUACCCACUCCCGGCACGGGGAGGUAGUGACGAAAAAUAACGAUACGGGACUCUUCCGAGGCCCCGUGAUUGGAAUGAGUACACUUUAAAUCCUUUAACGAGGAACCAUUGGAGGGCAAGUCUGGUGCCAGCAGCCGCGGUAACUCCAGCUCCAAUAGCGUAUAUUAAAGUUGUUGCGGUUAAAAAGCUCGUAGUCGGAUGUCUGUCUUCGGCCGGGCGGCGCCGCUCUGAAUCAAGGGUGUUGCGUUUCACGCUCUGGGAGCCCGGGUGUCAAAGCCCGACUCUCUUUCACGGUCGGACAACAUCGCCGGAGUGGUGGCCGGUGGGUCGCGUUGUAUCGGUUCGCGUGGCGUUUCGUUUUCUUCCUCUUCGGGGUUCGCUCCGUCGAGGGGGGGGGGGAUCGCUCGCGUUCAGUUGACGCGGUUCGCUCCACCCAGUCAAUCGGUCGGGGUGCCCUUCCACCGGGUGUCUCGGGCGGCCGGCAACGUUUACUUUGAACAAAUUAGAGUGCUCAAAGCAGGUGUAUCUCAACGCCCGAAUACCGCGGCGUGGAAUGAUGGAAUAGGACCUCGGUCCGAUUUUGCUGGUCUUUUCUUUUGGACCCGAGGUAAUGGUCAAUAGAGACGGACGGGGGCAUUCGUACUGCGGCGACAGAGGUGAAAUUCUUGGACCGCCGCAAGACGAACAACAGCGAAGGCAUUUGCCAAGAAUGUUUUCCUUGAUCAAGAACGAAAGUUAGAGGUUCGAAGGCGAUCAGAUACCGCCCUAGUUCUAACCAUAAACGAUGCCAACCAGCAAUCCGUCGGGAGUUACUCCAAUGACUCGACGGGCAGCUUCCGGGAAACCAAAGUCUUUGGGUUCCGGGGGAAGUAUGGUUGCAAAGCUGAAACUUAAAGGAAUUGACGGAAGGGCACCACCAGGAGUGGAGCCUGCGGCUUAAUUUGACUCAACACGGGAAACCUCACCAGGCCCGGACACUGGAAGGAUUGACAGAUUGAGAGCUCUUUCUUGAUUCGGUGNNNNNNGGGGGGUGCAUGGCCGUUCUUAGUUGGUGGAGCGAUUUGUCUGGUUAAUUCCGAUAACGAACGAGACUCUAGCCUUGCUAAAUAGGUGACGGGUUUUAUCAAUUGAAACCGAAGGGAGUACGGAGGCGUCGGGAUCAGGUGGCGGCGGUUCGGGGGGAAGGGGCCGGGUUCUUUAGCGGGCUCUUUUCGCGGCGUGGAUUCGGUUGGAAGCAAAAAGGAUGGGGGAGUUGGUGGUUCGGGGUUUCGGCUCCGGGCGUUGGCUUUUCU
rnacentral:rRNA from 1 species